rnacentral:rRNA from 1 species
AGCGAACGCUGGCGGCAGGCUUAACACAUGCAAGUCGAGCGGGCAUCUUCGGAUGUCAGCGGCAGACGGGCGAGUAACACGUGGGAACGUACCCUUCGGUUCGGAACAACUCUGGGAAACUGGAGCUAAUACCGGAUACGCCCUUAUGGGGAAAGGUUUACUGCCGUAGGAUCGGCCCGCGUCUGAUUAGCUAGUUGGUGGGUAACGGCCUACCAAGGCGACGAUCAGUAGCUGGUCUGAGAGGAUGAUCAGCCACACUGGGACUGAGACACGGCCCAGACUCCUACGGGAGGCAGCAGUGGGGAAUAUUGGACAAGGGGCGCAAGCCUGAUCAAGCCAUGCCGCGUGAGUGAUGAAGGCCUUAGGGUUGUAAAGCUCUUUUGUCCGGGACGAUAAUGACGGUACCGGAAGAAUAAGCCCCGGCUAACUUCGUG